rnacentral:rRNA from 1 species
GGACGAACGCUGGCAGUGUGUCUUACACAUGCAAGUCGGGCGGAUCUCUUUAAUUGCAGCAAUGCAAUUGGAGAGAUCGAGCGGCAAACGGGUGAGUAAUAGAUAGGUAAUCUACCAUAAUGACUGGGAUACCCCUUUGAAAAAGGGAUCAAUACCAGAUAAUGUCAGUUUAAAUAUUUUUAAAUUGAAGAAAGAUGGCCCAAAGCUAUCACAUUAUGAUGAGCCUAUCUCCUAUCAGCUUGUUGGUGAGGUAAUAGCUCACCAAGGCUAUGACGGGUAGCUGGUCUGAGAGGAUGGUCAGCCACACUGGAACUUAGAUACGGUCCAGACUCCUACGGGAGGCAGCAGUGGGGAAUCUUGGGCAAUGGGCGAAAGCCUGACCCAGCGACACUGCGUGGGUGAUGAAGAUCUUUGGAUUGUAAAACCCUUUUCCUGAAGAUGAAAGGUAGGAUUGAGAAUAUCCUUCCUACCCUGACAGUAUUCAGGGAAUAAGCCCCAGCCAACUACGUGCCAGCAGCUGCGGUAAUACGUAGGGGGCUAGCGUUGUCCGGAAUUACUGGGUGUAAAGGGUGUGCAGGCUUCCUUUUAAGUUGAUUGUGAAAUCCAUGAGGCUCAACCUCUGAAUUGCAGUCAAUACUGGAAGGAUAGAGGAUAUGGGAGGGAAGUGGAAUUCCCGGUGUAGCGGUGAAAUGCGUAGAUAUCGGGAGGAACACCAGCGGUGAAGACGGCUUCCUAACAUAUUCCUGACGCUCAUACACGAAAGCUAAGGGAGCAAACAGGAUUAGAUACCCUGGUAGUCUUAGCUGUAAACGAUGGAUACUAGGUGUUGGGAGAGUAACUCUCUCAGUGCCGAAGCUAACGCGUUAAGUAUCCACCUGGAGAGUACGAUCGCAAGGUUGAAACUCAAAGGAAUUGACGGGGGCCCGCACAAGCGGAGGAACAUGUGGUUUAAUUCGAUGAUACGCGAGGAACCUUACCCGGGCUCGAACGGUGCAUGAAUAAGCAAGAGAUUGUUUAGUCCUUCGGGACAUGUAUCGAGGUGCUGCAUGGUUGUCGUCAGCUCGUGCCGUGAGGUGUCGGCUUAAGUGCCAUAACGAGCGCAACCCUUGUUGUUAGUUACCAACAGGUAAAGCUGGGGACUCUAACGAGACUGCCACCGUAAGGUGUGAGGAAGGGGGGGAUGACGUCAAAUCAGCACGGCCCUUAUGUCCGGGGCGACACACGUGUUACAAUGGGGGGUACAGAGGGCAGCCAUCCGGUGACGGAGCGCCAAUCUCCAAAACCCUUCUCAGUUCGGAUUGGAGUCUGCAACCCGACUCCAUGAAGUUGGAUUCGCUAGUAAUCGCGCAUCAGCCAUGGCGCGGUGAAUACGUUCCCGGGCCU